ensembl:lncRNA
AAUUUAUUAUAUACUUUUUUUAAAAGCAAACUCCAUGUAACAGUGAUUUGUGAUUUCACAUAUAAUCUCAUUUUUCUGUCGUAUUAUUUUAUAUAUAGAACUGUUCUCUUUUUUGGUGUUCAUUAAGUUCAUUUUUUUUUUUAUAAAAAGUGGCAAGGUGGAUUGGACUUGAUGCUUUUUUGGGUCUUUUCUGGCUUGAGCUCUAUGGCCUGAAGUACUUUCCUGUCGCUGAGCCUCGGUUUCCUUUUCUGUUAAAUGGGGAGGCAGCAAGGAAGGGUGGGUUGGCCACAGUCCCUUCUGUGUCCUUUAUUCAAAGGCAGUCUGACCCGGCUUCUCCAACUUGCCGGUAGGGGGACUCCAUCCCGAGUCAGCUGUAUCAGAAACAACAGAGAACGAAACAUGAUUCCCACGGCCUGGCAAAGUGGCUCCCCACCCCCACCUCCAUAGCAGCUGCCUCCACAAACCUGGUGGCCCAGCCCGGCAGCUGCCACCCUCAGGGGAUCUGGGGCGUGGCCCGCCCACCUCUCAGGCUGGACACCAUGCUUGCCGUGGCCUGCGGGGAUUGGUCAGGAUUUCGUCCCAGCUGGGGUGACCAACUGUUGCUGUCCUUCACCAGUCCUGCCCUAGAAGCAGAGUGAGAAGAGACCCUCGGCCCCAAGGCCAGCACACAGGACCGGAACCCACUCCCUCCAGGAAGGGGUCUGUGUGAGAAGCGUGUGAUGCCCCUCUGAGUCACAAAUUCCUGCUUUCUGAGAAGCCUGGCUUCAACAUGGCCACGGGGGACCUGGAGGUGCUGGACAGGGGUCUGGGCUGCCCCGAGGCCAUGGAGGAGCUGACCAAGUCAGUGGAGAGAUCCAGGAAAGAAUCGCAGGAGGAGGAGGAGGAGGCAAAAGGUGGUGAGAGGGCAGAAAGCAGAGAAGAGACAAGCAGCCAGGUGCAGGUGCAGGGGCCCGCUGAGGAGGAGCAGGCCCCGGAUGGGAUCGGGGAUGGUGCCAGGAAGCCCUCGAGGGUGAAGGCAGAGAAGGAGCACUCAGCCGACAAGGGGGGCUCCGGAAAGGAGAGAGGGAAGACAGCUGCAGCUCCUAAGAGCGUCCCUGCUAGGAAGAAAAUGAAGGCCCACUCCCAGCCCCAGGUGAAGCCACAGCCCCGGACGCUGGGGCCCCCGAGCGACGAGCUGCCUUGGGGAGAGAUCACCCUUAACAAGUGCCUGGCGCUGGCCUCGGUCGUGGCUGUCCUCAGCAUGGCCUUCCAGGUGUUCCAGGAUGUCAUUGAUGGGGAGGAGGAGGGCCCGGAGGCUGCCCCGGCCCUGUGGGCCUGGCCAGGCAGCAGUGCCCCGAGGGACAGCAGAGCCAAGCUGCAGCCCAAGCCCAGAGACUGGGCUAAGGCGUCAGCACCAGCCCCACCUCCAGGGCCCAAGCCCCCUGUGAAGGAGACACCCCGGACUGCCAUGGUCAAGGAGGCCUCACCCAAAGAGCCGGGCGCAGAGGGGCAAGAAGCAGAGGGCAAGGCGAGCCCUGCCCCGGCCCCAGAAGCAGCCGUUCUGCCUGAGAAGCCGCCCUGGGCAGCGCUGCCUAAGAAGGAGGAGAAGGCCAGGAACAAGAAGGGCUUCCGAGAGGACAGGGCCGAGCCCCAGUGGCAGCAAAGGAAGGAGGGCGGCCACGGGCCGCGGCUGCGCCGAGAAGGGAAGGAGGAGGCUCCACGCAGGCCCUGGGAGCGGGAGCAGGAGCACCGGCCCCCCGGCAGGCGGGAGGACUCCAAGAAGGCCCGGGAUGGACCCAGGAGCAAGAGAGAAGAGCAGCGGGGCCGCGGGGGGCGCGAGGGGCGCGAGGACAGGGACAGGUUCUUCCCCAAACAGAAGCACCGGGAAGGGAAGCGGAGGGACUGA